rnacentral:rRNA from 1 species
UACGAAGGGGGGCUAGCGUUGCUCGGAAUCACUGGGCGUAAAGGGUGCGUAGGCGGGUCUUUAAGUCAGGGGUGAAAUCCUGGAGCUCAACUCCAGAACUGCCUUUGAUACUGAAGAUCUUGAGUUCGGGGAGAGGUGAGUGGAACUGCGAGUGUAGAGGUGAAAUUCGUAGAUAUUCGCAAGAACACCAGUGGCGAAGGCGGCUCACUGGCCCGAUACUGACGCUGAGGCACGAAAGCGUGGGGAGCAAAACAGG